AAAUAAUGACAUGCAUGUAAAACUUACUUGCUUUACUAUGAACAAAAAAACCAGAACUUGGAACUUUGUAACAGAAAUGAAACAUGAGAACCAGCAUCAGCAGCUUUAAGAAAGUAAUCAUCAAGCUCUUUGAUAACUUCAACAAGAUCUUUACUGUUCCUUGAAACCACCAUUGCAAGCUCACUUGGUGUCUCUUUAGAAUACCCCACUACACCAGACGCCGGAGUCGCCAUACUCGCCGCCGCACCACCGGCCAUCACCACCACCUCAGAACCAGUAGUAGUAGUGGCUUCCCACUCUUCCUCCGUCGCUGACCUCGACGAAGGAGGCGGCGGCGGUUGCUGCAUGAAAGGAUCCCAGAAAUCCCAACCGGAGGAAA
rnacentral:lncRNA from 1 species